UCCCAGACUCCUACGGGAGGCAGCAGUGGGGAAUAUUGGGCAAUGGGCGAAAGCCUGACCCAGCAACGCCGCGUGAAGGAAGAAGGCUUUCGGGUUGUAAACUUCUUUUGACAGGGAAGAGCAGAAGACGGUACCUGUCGAAUAAGCCACGGCUAACUACGUGCCAGCAGCCGCGGUAAUACGUAGGUGGCAAGCGUUGUCCGGAUUUACUGGGUGUAAAGGGCGUGUAGCCGGGAAGGCAAGUCAGAUGUGAAAUCCGGAGGCUCAACCUCCGAAUUGCAUUUGAAACUGCUUUUCUUGAGUACUGGAGAGGCAGACGGAAUUCCUUGUGUAGCGGUGAAAUGCGUAGAUAUAAGGAGGAACACCAGUGGCGAAGGCGGUCUACUGGACGGUGACUGACGCUGAGGCUCGAAAGCGUGGGGAGCAAACAGGAUUAGAUACCCUAGUA
rnacentral:rRNA from 1 species